GGGCAUAGAUUUAAUAAUCCUAUAUUCACUCAUAGAACACAUGAUUAGUAUCAUAAUCACUCAAAAUUUUGGAAUCAUCAAAAUCAAUCAUAGGAUCAACAAUCUCUCCCAUUUUGAUGAUGAUAAAAUUUUGAGUAUGUGCAUAAUAAAAGUAAAUAAUGUGUUUUAAUAUAUUUUGUCAAUAUGUAUCAUGAAGUAAUAAAUUAAACAUAUGAAUGCAUACUUCAUAAAUGUUCUUAAUAAUCUUUAGUUUAUUGCACAUAUUUAGUUUAUUGCACAUAUCUCAUAUACUCAUUUUAAAAGAAUGUCUUAAUUCAAAUCUUAAGCAUUAAUUCAUUGAGUUUCUUAAGCAUUAAUCGUUUAAGCAUAUACUCAACAUC
rnacentral:lncRNA from 1 species